GUCGAACGAUGAUGCCAGCUUGCUGGUGGAUUAGUGGCGAACGGGUGAGUAACACGUGAGUAACCUGCCCUUGACUCUGGGAUAAGCCUGGGAAACUGGGUCUAAUACCGGAUAUGACCUUCCAUCGCAUGGUGGUUGGUGGAAAGCUUUUGUGGUUUUGGAUGGACUCGCGGCCUAUCAGCUUGUUGGUGGGGUAAUGGCCUACCAAGGCGACGACGGGUAGCCGGCCUGAGAGGGUGACCGGCCACACUGGGACUGAGACACGGCCCAGACUCCUACGGGAGGCAGCAGUGGGGAAUAUUGCACAAUGGGCGAAAGCCUGAUGCAGCGACGCCGCGUGAGGGAUGACGGCCUUCGGGUUGUAAACCUCUUUCAGUAGGGAAGAAGCGUAAGUGACGGUACCUGCAGAAGAAGCGCCGGCUAACUACGUGCCAGCAGCCGCGGUAAUACGUAGGGCGCAAGCGUUAUCCGGAAUUAUUGGGCGUAAAGAGCUCGUAGGCGGUUUGUCGCGUCUGCCGUGAAAGUCCGGGGCUCAACUCCGGAUCUGCGGUGGGUACGGGCAGACUAGAGUGAUGUAGGGGAGACUGGAAUUCCUGGUGUAGCGGUGAAAUGCGCAGAUAUCAGGAGGAACACCGAUGGCGAAGGCAGGUCUCUGGGCAUUAACUGACGCUGAGGAGCGAAAGCAUGGGGAGCGAACAGGAUUAGAUACCCUGGUAGUCCAUGCCGUAAACGUUGGGCACUAGGUGUGGGGGACAUUCCACGUUUUCCGCGCCGUAGCUAACGCAUUAAGUGCCCCGCCUGGGGAGUACGGCCGCAAGGCUAAAACUCAAAGGAAUUGACGGGGGCCCGCACAAGCGGCGGAGCAUGCGGAUUAAUUCGAUGCAACGCGAAGAACCUUACCAAGGCUUGACAUGAACCGGACCGCUGCAGAAAUGUGGUUUCCCCUUUGGGGCUGGUUUACAGGUGGUGCAUGGUUGUCGUCAGCUCGUGUCGUGAGAUGUUGGGUUAAGUCCCGCAACGAGCGCAACCCUCGUUCUAUGUUGCCAGCACGUGAUGGUGGGGACUCAUAGGAGACUGCCGGGGUCAACUCGGAGGAAGGUGGGGACGACGUCAAAUCAUCAUGCCCCUUAUGUCUUGGGCUUCACGCAUGCUACAAUGGCCGGUACAAAGGGUUGCGAUACUGUGAGGUGGAGCUAAUCCCAAAAAGCCGGUCUCAGUUCGGAUUGGGGUCUGCAACUCGACCCCAUGAAGUCGGAGUCGCUAGUAAUCGCAGAUCAGCAACGCUGCGGUGAAUACGUUCCCGGGCCUUGUACACACCGCCCGUCAAGUCACGAAAGUUGGUAACACCCGAAGCCGGUGGCCUAACCC
rnacentral:rRNA from 1 species